CUGUUUAUCAAAAACAUUCUUUUUAAACAACAAAAAGUAGACUCUGCUCAAUGAAUUUUCAAUAGCCGCAGUACCCUGACUGUGCUAAGGUAGCAUAAUAAUUUGUCUUAUAAUUGAAGACUGGAAUGAAAGAGUUAACGCCAUUUUUACUUUCUUAAAAAAAAUUUUUGAAUUUGAUAUCUACAUUCAAAAGUGUAGCUUGAAAAAAGGGACGAUAAGACCCUAUAAAGCUUCACCUAAACAUAUUUAUCUAGUACCUAGAAACCUAGAAAAAAAUGGGUUAAGCUGGGGCGGCAAGUAUUGUAACAAUAACUAAAAAUAACAAAAAUAUUUGAGUUUAAAGAUCUUGUAAAAAAAGUUAGAAUAAGCUACUUUAGGGAUAACAGCACAAUUUUUUCGGAGAGACCUUAUUAAAGAAAAAGACUUGUGACCUCGAUGUUGAAUUGAAGAGCUCUGUUUAAGCAGAAAUAAGCAAGAGGAGUCUGUUCGACUUUUAAUUCUUCACGUGAUCUGA
rnacentral:rRNA from 1 species